GAACAAAUUCAAAAUCUUGAGAUCAUUGCAUAAUUCAUACUAUAUUAUAUUAUAAUGUAAUUUAUUUAUAAAAUAAAACCAUGACACUUAUUGUAUAGCCCAAAUUAUGCCCGGCCCAAAACCAAACUCUAGACCCAAUUACAAAGCCCAAAUCAGCCCACAACCUUAACUAAUUUUCAGCCAAAAAGGAAAACCCUAGCCACCAAAGUCUGUCACCACCCACACCUCCACUUGCUCCACUUGCUCCACUUGCACUGCCUCCAUCCCAUCAUCCCAUCACCUGCAAAACAAAUAGAGAGCAGAAACACGCAAAGCAAAAAAGGGGAAACAAGCAGAAGGCAGAGAAAUCAUGUAAUCGACUAUAAAGUCGAAAGAGAAAAUAAUAAAAAUAGGGGAUUUAUAUUUUCAAAAGGGGGGAACCGAGGAAUUUGUUUCAAGAAAUCGAUUCGGAUACAAAUAAUAAAAGGAGACAGUUGAAGAAGGGAUCAAAAGGGGCUAAGGUCUUUUGAUACUCUUAUUUUUUCUUUCAAAAACUGUUAUUCCUCUUUUUUUUUCUCUUUUUUUUUCUAUUUUACGAAGUUAUUUACAUACAUAUAUAAGAAUGCAAUAAAAAAGAGGAAAAGGAAAGUACCUGGAGUGUUCGGCCACCGUCCAUGGCGGAGGAGUAGCAGUCGAGGCGACAGCGCAACAAAUGGGUUUCUUUUGAAACCCUAGCAGAGAAUGAAAUGGGGAGAAUAGGGCUGCUCUCUCUGUUUUUUUGCAAAAGAAAGGAAA
rnacentral:lncRNA from 1 species